rnacentral:lncRNA from 1 species
UAUUUCUACUUCUUCUCAAUCUAAUAUUCUACAAUUUUCAACACAAAGGGUAAGUGGUAUUGAUGUUGCUCAACAAGUUUUAUUGCAAAGACAAAAAAGAACAAGGGAAUCCAGUUCUAUUUAUGAAUUUGACAAUUAUCUAACAACUUCUUUUGAGUUUGGUGAUAAUUAUGCAGAUGCAGAUUUUCCAAUUUUAGAUUGGUGGAGUCGUCACGCAAAUACUU